CUGUCACAUUAAAAAACCACAACACUGCAACUAUGCUGAUGGUGCAAAAUAAAUAUAUAAAUCUACCACAGGUUAAUUCUCUGCCCAUAAACUGCCAAACGUCAUAAGCUUCUAUUGCAAUUAUAUUCCACUGCCACAAAAAAAUUCAUUUUUUUGGUCUUCGGGUUAGGGUUAAGCAGGAGGUCAACAGUUGGGCUAGGUUUAAAAUAACAUUUUAUGAAAACAAAUUGUAGAAAUAUUCAGGGUUUAUCAGUUAUAGCUAUAGAAACUAUACCUAGUGAACACUAGCUGAAGUCUGACUUUCAAUAAACUGCCAUAGCAAUGUUAAUGCAGUGUCUUUAUUUUUAUAAAGUAUCAUCCUCUAUACACUUCUACUUCUGAGAAGUCAUACCUGUAGGAGGGGUUGACAUGGCUCUAGGAAUAUGUUUUAUACAGUACUUAAGACCAGCCGGUAAGUUAAUUUGACAAUGGGUAAAAGAGCAAUGUCUGACUGAAUGCUCAAGUCAUAUUUUCCAUUUCAAGAAUUCUCUUACUAAUAUUUAUUUUCCAAGGUGUAUAGUUAAACGUAUCUACCAGAACGUUUGAUUUUAAUGUGUAAACUGAACACGUACCUGAGAAGAAGCUUUCAUUUCUAACAAAAUUCAUAAUUAUUCAAAUGAUGAUGCAUUAUAGACUGAAUGAUGCAUUGUGUUAUAGCCAAGAGGGUUUAACCUAAAUUCAUGUGCAUAUUGACAGUGCAUAACUGACCAUAUUUGUCUUACUACCAUAGGCAAAAACAGUCUCCCAAUAAUUAUUUACAGAAGCUAAGAACAAACCUGCCUUUAGGGUAAUUGCUAAAACCUAAAAUGUAGGCAACAGGCAGGAGUGAGAGAGAAAUUAAUCUCUUCACAUUGUCUGGGAAUAUAUGUCAACGAUUGUGGCUACAUUGAGAAAUGUCAAAUUUUAGUGUGGAUUGACAUUUGUUCAGUGAAGGUAGAGUAUUGCACAGUGAUUUUAGACUACAAGAAGGACCCUAUAGCCAUCUGGCUGUCUUUUGUUAUACAAUACCUGCACAAUAUAAAGUGUGUUAUAUGUGCUAAACCUGUAGUUAUGCAUAUAGAAAACAACAAAAACCUUAACAAAACAAUAGAAUGACACUUAAAUGCUAGAUAAGUCAUAACGAGAAUUAAAGUGAUUGCCAACAUUCCCUGAAGGCAUUUAUUUUUGGGAAUACGAACUCUUUC
ensembl:lncRNA